UACGAAGGGUGCAAGCGUUGCUCGGAAUUACUGGGCGUAAAGCGCGCGUAGGCGGUUUGUUAAGUCUGUUGUGAAAGCCCCGGGCUCAACCUGGGAAUGGCAAUGGAUACUGGCAAGCUAGAGUGCGGGAGAGGGGAGUGGAAUUCCCGGUGUAGCGGUGAAAUGCGUAGAGAUCGGGAGGAACACCAGUGGCGAAGGCGGCUACCUGGACCAGCACUGACACUGAGGCACGAAAGCGUGGGGAGCAAACAGG
rnacentral:rRNA from 1 species